rnacentral:rRNA from 1 species
UACGGGGGGAGCAAGCGUUGUUCGGAUUUACUGGGCGUAAAGGGCGCGUAGGCGGCCAGCACAAGUCAGUUGUGAAAUCUCCGAGCUUAACUCGGAAAGGUCAACUGAUACUGUGCGGCUAGAGUGCGGAAGGGGCAACUGGAAUUCUUGGUGUAGCGGUGAAAUGCGUAGAUAUCGGGAGGAACACCUGAGGCGAAGGCGGGCUGCUGGGCCGAUACUGACGCUGAGGCGCGAAAGCCAGGGGAGCAAACGGG